GAUGAACGCUAGCGGCAGGCUUAAUACAUGCAAGUCGAGGGGUAGCAAGAUUGUAGCAAUACAAUUGUUGACGACCGGCAAACGGGUGCGGAACACGUACACAACCUUCCUACAAGUGGGGAAUAGCCCAGAGAAAUUUGGAUUAAUACCCCGUAACAUAGCGAUGUGGCAUCACAUUGCUAUUAUAGCCUCGGCGCUUGUUGAUGGGUGUGCGGCUGAUUGGAUAGUUGGCGGGGUAACGGCCCACCAAGUCUACGAUCAGUAGCUGAUGUGAGAGCAUGAUCAGCCACACGGGCACUGAGACACGGGCCCGACUCCUACGGGAGGCAGCAGUAAGGAAUAUUGGACAAUGGACGCAAGUCUGAUCCAGCCAUGCCGCGUGAAGGAUUAAGGUCCUCUGGAUUGUAAACUUCUUUUAUAAGGGACGAAAAAAGGUCUUUCUAGAUCGUCUGACGGUACCUUAUGAAUAAGCACCGGCUAACUCCGUGCCAGCCGCCGCGGUAACAC
rnacentral:rRNA from 1 species